CUUGUAAAUUCUACUGGUCUUAUCGCUGCAAAUUUGUAGUUACAGCAAUUGCUGCGCCAGUACUACCGAAGAUGAAGAUUGCAGUGGAGGGUUGCAUGCAUGGAGACCUGGACAAGGUAUACAAGACGAUUCAGUACAUGGAGCAGAUUCACACCACCAAAAUCGACCUCCUUCUCUGUUGCGGUGAUUUCCAGGCAAAACAGGCUGUGAGGAACGAGAGAGACAUGGAAAGCCUAAGUGUACCCUCGAAAUACCUGGCUAUGAAGUCAUUCUGGAAAUACUACUCGGGUCAAGAAGUUGCGCCAAUUCCCACCAUAUUCAUCGGCGGGAAUCACGAAGCUUCCAAUUAUUUGUGGGAAUUGUAUUAUGGGGGAUGGGUAGCACCUAAUAUAUACUUCUUGGGGUUUGCUGGAGUAGUAAAGUUUGGUAACAUCCGAAUUGGUGGACUGUCUGGGAUUUACAAUCAGCGCCAUUACCGUUCAGGACACUUUGAGAGACCACCUUACAAUGAGAACACUGUUAGGUCUGUAUACCACAUUCGUGAGUAUGAUGUCCAUAAACUGCUCCAAGUUGAUGAACCGAUUGAUAUUUUUCUUUCACAUGAUUGGCCACUUGGCAUCACUGAUUAUGGGGACUGGAAGAAACUUGUUCAGCAAAAACGGCAUUUUGAAAAAGAGAUUCAGGAAAGAACUCUUGGAAGUAAACCUGCUGCCCAACUGUUGGAAAAACUGAAACCCCAUUAUUGGUUUUCUGCUCAUCUACACUGCAAAUUUGCAGCUGUCGUUCAACAUGGAGAGAGUGGGCCUCUGACAAAAUUUCUGGCACUUGAUAAAUGCCUUCCUGGCCGCAAAUUUUUACAGAUUGUGGAAGUUGAAUCAGAGCCAGGACCUUAUGAGCUACAGUAUGAUGAAGAAUGGUUAGCCAUAACACGGAAAUUCAAUUCUAUCUUCCCACUGACGAGGAGGAAUGCAGAUUUUGGAGGUACAGAACUUGAAAUACAAGAUUGUCGUCGAUGGAUCCGGAGCAAGAUUCAAGUAAGAGGAGCCACGCCAUUUGAAUUUGUACCAACAGUUACACCUUACAAUCCUUCUGAACCUGUUUCAGAUGCAUAUGUUACUGAAAAUCAUCGAAAUCCUCAGACAGAGUCUUUGUUGCAAUUUCUGGAGCUUCCAUACGUUCUUAAUAGCACAUCAGAAGCAAGGGAGCUUAAUAAUAGUCCUGGUUUGCUAACUCCAAAAGGUUGUGUCAAUCGACUUAGAGAUAUCUAUAAGAAGACGGGAGGUUCCAUGGGCUGACAGGUUCAUAAAUCAAGGAAGCAGGCAGCUAGCCUGCUCCAAGACUUCAUGGUGUCAGGCCCAUUGACCCGAUCCCAACUCUGGGACUGUGAGACAGUGUUCCUUUGGGGUAUAGGCUUGAUUGGUUGUUUCUCUUUAUCAACACGCAGAUGACUAUUCAAGCGUGUAGGUUCAGUGAAUUAUAACAAUGAGGAAAUACCAAUUGACGAGGUGGAUGACUUGGAAGAAGCUGAAGAAACAGAUAGGGCAGAAUCAGAGAAUGAAGAUUUGUGAAGCCUUUCCGGUCAUAGUUUCAUACCUAUCAACUGAUUAUUAUUUCUAGAUUGUGGCCUUAUUCGGCUUGGAUAAGAUCUGCCUGUUAAUACAUCUUUGAAUGUUAACCUCGCCAGUGGCAGUGAAAGUUACAUCUAGUAUUGAUGGUCUGUCGAGCUUCUGGGAUAUGGGCCAUGAAAUCAUCCUUGUGUGUUACAAGGAAGGUAGCUGGUUGAUUGUCAACUGGCUUUGCCCUUGCUGCAAGGAGGAUAAAGGUAAUGUGCAUUAAGAGUCAGUUUGGUAGAGAAGCAUCUGUAACACUUUUGGAGGAAGAUUGAUGUUUUGAUUUGUGAUGUGAUGACACAUACAAAGAAUUUGGAGGGAACAGAUCUCUAAUGAAUCAUGGAAAGAUUUCCAUUUUUGUUAAUUAUCUUUUUUCGGCACCAGUUGAUCGAGUUCAAGACAUCUUUGAUGUAGAAGCAAUUCAAAUAACGCUGCAGGAUAAUUUGAUCUAA